rnacentral:RNase_P_RNA from 1 species
CAGGCAAGAGAGGCAAUCGCGGUGGCUUCGGUCAACGAGGAAAGUCCGGACUCCACAGAGCGGCGUGCCGGGUAACGCCCGGCGGGAGCAAUCCCAGAGACAGUGUCACAGAAAAGCAAACCGCCGAAUUUCGGUAAGGAUGAAAAGGCGGGGUAAGAGCCCACCGGUUGCCGAGCAAUCGGCAAGCCUGACAAACCUCACGCGGAGCAAGCCUAAAUAGGAGAUGGUUGAGGUUGCUCGCUGACAUCUCGGGUAAGGUGCUAGACUUGGACGGCGACGUUCAAGCAAGAUAAAUGAUUGCCAAUAACAGAAUCCGGCUUAUUGACUGUCUGCCAG